UGCCAGCCGCCGCGGUAAUACGGGAGGGUGCGAGCGUUAAUCGGAAUUACUGGGCGUAAAGCGCGCGUAGGCGGUUUGUUAAGUCGGAUGUGAAAGCCCUGGGUUCAACCUGGGAACUGCAUUCGAUACUGGCUAACUAGAGUGCGAGAGAGGGAGGUAGAAUUCCAUGUGUAGCGGUGAAAUUCGUAGAUAUUUGGAGGAACACCAGUGACGAAGGCGGCUCACUGGCUCGAUACCGACGCUGAGGUACGAAAGUGUGGGGAGCAAACAGGAUUAGAUA
rnacentral:rRNA from 1 species